rnacentral:miRNA from 1 species
CUCGAUGACCGGAAGGAAUCCCUUCCGGCCAUCGAGAUUGUAUGGUCUCGAUGACCGGAAGGAAUCCCUUCCGGUCAUCAAGACCAUUCGAAUUUUGAUGAUCGGAAGGAAUCCCUUCCGGUCAUCGAGACCAUUGAUGACCGGAAGGAAUCCCUUCCGGUCAUCGAG